GGUGGUAUAGUGUAGUGGUCAUCACUCGGGAUUCUGAUAAACACUGUUUAGUAGUUUCCCGAAACCCAGGUUCGAACCCUGGUACUACCU